rnacentral:rRNA from 1 species
CAGUCGCACGAGAAAGGGGAGCAAUCCCUGAGUAAAGUGGCGCACGGGUGAGUAACACGUGGGUUAUCCACCCUCUGGUGGGGAAUAACCCUGGGAAACCGGGGCUAAUACCGCAUAAGUCCGAGAGGAGAAAGCCGAAAGGCGCCAGAGGAGGAGCCCGCGGCCGAUUAGCUAGUUGGUGAGGUAAUGGCUCACCAAGGCGACGAUCGGUAGCCGGCCUGAGAGGGCACACGGCCACACUGGCACUGAAACACGGGCCAGACUCCUACGGGAGGCAGCAGUGGGGAAUCUUGCACAAUGGGGGAAACCCUGAUGCAGCGACGCCGCGUGAGCGAUGAAGCCCCUCGGGGUGUAAAGCUCUUUCGGCAGGGACGAUCAUGACGGUACCUGCAGAAGAAGCUGCGGCUAACUACGUGCCAGCAGCCGCGGUAAUACGUAGGCAGCAAGCGUUGUUCGGAAUUACUGGGCGUAAAGCGUGCGUAGGCGGUUGGCUAAGUUUGGUGUGAAAUCUCCCGGCUCAACUGGGAGGGUGCGCCGAAAACUGGCCGGCUAGAGUGCGGGAGAGGGAAGUGGAAUUCCUGGUGUAGCGGUGAAAUGCGUAGAUAUCAGGAGGAACAC